GGAUCAUUAGCUCAAAUGGUAGAGCACUAGAGAAUAGUUACGCACUACUACAUCUUAAGAGAUGGUGGUUCAAGUCCAUCAUGAUCCU